rnacentral:lncRNA from 1 species
UACAGUGGUCUACAUGAAUGGUACGAUGGCAAAGCUGGGCUGCGUCAUUUGCCAAUUGUGCCGAAGAGAAGAUGGACAUCAUCUGUGCUUGUUGCAUCAAUUGGUGGCGAUUAAUUUGUGGAUGAUGAGGUUGCUUCAUUUACACUACUUUCUCCUUAGAUCUGCGUUGUGACUAUUCUGACAAGAGAUAGUGUAUAGUUUUAUUAUGUUCAUACAAGAUUAAUUCCUCAAAGUAUAACACUUGCUUUCUGUUUAUAUAAUUUCUUGAUGGUGUAAGCAACUAAACGUCUUUCUUUCUAAUAUCUAACUUUAGCUGUCAGACGUAUGAAGGUGGUAUUGCAGGAGAAUCAGGUCACCUUUACACACAAAAGUUGCCUCUAACUAUGUAUUCUCUCUUUUAAAUUUAUUCUAAUUUUGCCUGGAUCCCAACACAAUACAGGUAUCAUUUGAGGAUCCCAGUCUCAAUGUCAGGGCUCUAAGUGAAAAUCCCGAUUUUUAACCUGGAUUAAUCCCAAUACAAACUGGCCAUAGCCUUGGCAAGUGUUUUUCCAAGUAUUAUGGUGUUUGUUUAAUUACCUGGGGCCUAGUAUGGUGUCAUCCAGCCUUUACAAACAGAGAAAGUCAUGAAAGAUUUUGAAUUAAGCUCACUCCAGUUCAUAUACUCCACCUGUAGUAGAUGCCUAUAUUUUCUAUUUAUGGUAUUCUUGCCUGGAUUACAUUUUUAUUAGAGACUUGCAGAUCACUGGCAAUGUUUUCCUAACUAAAAAUUAGAAUCUGUGUUGCCAACUUUGCUCACUCUAUGGCGUUAUGGUCCUGAUUCUUAUUCCAUGCCGACCUGGGUCUUAUCCCAAACUGGCACCUGGCUUUAAUUAAGCCUCUACCAGAAUGUUCACUUCUGAGCUAUCUGCAUUCAUUUCCUUAGAAAGCAGACAAUAUACUUUCAAGUGGAGUGGAAAGUUGCAAUCUCACUCGAACAGUAACAAAUGCAAUUAAGAAUGCAUGCAAAAGCUGAAAAUAAAAAAAAAACAAAAUAAAUACACGUUCAAGUGAAUUUGCCUUCUUUGGUUACUGUUCAAGUGAAUUAAAUUUCAGUGCCAAUCUCUUAACAUGCAAAAUGCAAAAACUGGGAGAGUAGAGACACGACUUACCUGGUCCGUUGGCCACCCUGACUAUUUCAGUCCUCCACUGUUUUUGGUUCUUUGUUUUGCUUUCGUUUCUCUUCUCUCCCUCUCCUCUGUUCUGUAUUCCGUUUUCUUUUCUUUCACAAUGACGAAAGGAUGAAAGAAAGAAACCCCUCUGAUCCCCAAGAUAUAAUGUAAGGAGAGCUGUUCCUUUCUGGAACGUAUGGUCUCAAAAAAAAGUCUUUUAUAUAGUUGAUUUUCCAGUAUUGUUUG